rnacentral:rRNA from 3 species
CUUACAAGGUUGACCUCGGAUCAGGUAGGAAUACCCGCUGAACUUAA